CCUCCGUCGCAUAAUAACUUUUUCGUGUUCAACGUUUGACCAUUUAUCUUAUUUAAAAAAAUUUUAUUAAAAUUUUUAUUGUUACUAGAUGAUAAAAUAUGAAUAGUACUUUAUACGUGACUAUUUUUUUAAGAUUUUAUACAAAAUUUUUAAAUAAGACGAAUAGUCAAACGUUAGAUAUAGAAAAACA
rnacentral:pre_miRNA from 1 species